rnacentral:rRNA from 1 species
AUGAACGCUGGCGGCAUGCCUAACACAUGCAAGUCGAACGAAGGCUUCGGCCUUAGUGGCGCACGGGUGCGUAACGCGUGGGAAUCUGCCCUUGGGUUCGGAAUAACAGUUAGAAAUGACUGCUAAAACCGGAUGAUGUCGUAAGACCAAAGAUUUAUCGCCCAAGGAUGAGCCCGCGUAGGAUUAGCUAGUUGGUGGGGUAAAGGCCUACCAAGGCGACGAUCCUUAGCUGGUCUGAGAGGAUGAUCAGCCACACUGGGACUGAGACACGGCCCAGACUCCUACGGGAGGCAGCAGUGGGGAAUAUUGGACAAUGGGCGAAAGCCUGAUCCAGCAAUGCCGCGUGAGUGAUGAAGGCCUUAGGGUUGUAAAGCUCUUUUACCCGGGAUGAUAAUGACAGUACCGGGAGAAUAAGCUCCGGCUAACUUCGUG